GGUCAAGCUACUAAGGGCGUACGGUGGAUGCCUAGGCGCUAAGAGUCGAAGAAGGGCGCGGUUAACAGCGAAAUGCCACGGGGAGUCGUAAGCAGGCUUCGAUCCGUGGAUACCCGAAUGGGGCAACCCAACCGGAGUCAUGUCCGGUUAUCUGCAGCUGAAUACAUAGGCUGCCGAAGACAACCCAGGGAACUGAAACAUCUAAGUACCUGGAGGAAGAGAAAGAAUAAUCGAUUCCCUGAGUAGCGGCGAGCGAAACGGGAAGAGCCCAAACCAAUCCCUUCGGGGAUUGGGGUUGUAGGACCCUCUAUUAGGAUUGGAACUUUAGCUGAGCAGAUCUGGAAAGGUCGGGCAAAGAAGGUAACACCCCUGUAAGCGAAAGAGAGACAAUCCGUGAGGGUAUCCUGAGUACCGCGGGACACGUGAAACCCCGUGGGAAUCUGGGAGGACCACCUCCCAAGGCUAAAUACUCCUUAGCGACCGAUAGCGAACAAGUACCGUGAGGGAAAGGUGAAAAGCACCUCGGAAGAGGAGUGAAAAAGAACCUGAAACCGUACGCUUACAAGCAGUCACAGUCCGCAAGGAUAGUGGCGUGCCUUUUGUAGAAUGAACCGGCGAGUUACGGUAUGCAGCGAGGUUAAGGCGAAAAGCCGGAGCCGAAGCGAAAGCGAGUCUGAAAAGGGCGUCCAGUUGCAUGCUGUAGACCCGAAACCGUGUGAUCUACCCAUGGCCAGGGUGAAGGUGGGGUAAAACCCAGUGGAGGCCCGAACUCACUGUCGUUGAAAAGGCAGGGGAUGAGCUGUGGGUAGGGGUGAAAUGCCAAUCGAACACGGAGAUAGCUGGUUCUCCCCGAA
rnacentral:rRNA from 1 species